CUAUAAACCUAUUUACAUUCUUUCAUUCUGUCAUUCUGUCAUUCCGUCGCUGUUGACCUGUUCGUUUAAUCAUCUCUCCUACCUUUAUAGAAUCAAUUCCUCCAAGGAUAUCAGAUGACAUUGGAAUUAAAGAAUUAUGUUUUACCCUGGAUGCAUCACCAACACUUAUUAUUAUUCAAGGACCACAGAAACAUGUUAUUUUUUCAUAAAAUCUAUGAUAUGUUUCCUCAGAACUGAAGUAUAUAGU